rnacentral:rRNA from 1 species
AGUGAACGCUGGCGGUAGGCCUAACACAUGCAAGUCGAACGGCAGCACAGGAGAGCUUGCUCUCUGGGUGGCGAGUGGCGGACGGGUGAGGAAUACAUCGGAAUCUACUCUGUCGUGGGGGAUAACGUAGGGAAACUUACGCUAAUACCGCAUACGACCUACGGGUGAAAGCAGGGGAUCUUCGGACCUUGCGCGAUUGAAUGAGCCGAUGUCGGAUUAGCUAGUUGGCGGGGUAAAGGCCCACCAAGGCGACGAUCCGUAGCUGGUCUGAGAAGAUGGUCGGCCCCACUGGAACUGAGACACGGUCCAGACUCCUACGGGAGGCAGCAGUGGGGAAUAUUGGACAAUGGGCGCAAGCCUGAUCCAGCCAUACCGCGUGGGUGAAGAAGGCCUUCGGGUUGUAAAGCCCUUUUGUUGGGAAAGAAAUCCAGCUGGCUAAUACCCGGUUGGGAUGACGGUACCCAAAGAAUAAGCACCGGCUAACUUCGUGCCAGCAGCCGCCGCCG